UACGUAGGGCGCAAGCGUUGUCCGGAAUUAUUGGGCGUAAAGAGCUCGUAGGCGGCUUGUCACGUCGAUUGUGAAAGCCCGAGGCUUAACCUCGGGUCUGCAGUCGAUACGGGCUAGCUAGAGUGUGGUAGGGGAGAUCGGAAUUCCUGGUGUAGCGGUGAAAUGCGCAGAUAUCAGGAGGAACACCGGUGGCGAAGGCGGAUCUCUGGGCCAUUACUAACACUCAGAGACGAAAGCUAGGGUAGCAAAUGGG
rnacentral:rRNA from 1 species